GAUGGAAAAUUUGUCGGGUUUUUAAUUACUGUACAAAAUUUCAGACAAUUUGGUUUAGUUUAAGUCCUUUAACUAUUCAUUUUGUUCUAAAAAGUCAGCCUUUCGCAUGCUUAAUUAAUGCAUUUACCUAAUUUGCAUAUUGCUGACAUAUGCAAAUUAGGCAAAUGCAUUAAUUAAGCAUGCAAAUAGCUGAUUUUUAGGAAAAAUGUAACUUUGCGUGAAUAGUUAAGGGCUUAGACUAAACCAAAUUGUCUGAAAUUGUGUACAGUAUUUUCCAUCAUAUGAUUGCCGCUUUAAAAAUUUUGUGCGCGGGCCAUUUUUAGUAUGUUGGAAAAGACACACACCCCCCGGUUCACAAAAUUUGAGUUCGAGAAAUUUUUCUCAUUAUUCUACAUUAUAAGUACCCAAAGAGGCUAUAUAAAUAAAAAACCGGAUACAAAUAGCUGUUUUGCGAAAUUGAGAGCAAUUUUAAAUCUGUUCAGUUUUUUAUGCACCCUGUGGUGUAUUUUAAUUGUAUAUAGUUAUUUCAAAUUCUAAUUCCAGGCUUAUCAGAAUGUCAAUCAUCUUGGAUACAAGUAAGUGCUUCUUCUGCUUCAUACAAUAACUCUUCCAGAAAGUACUCAGUCGUGGCUAUAGUGCCUAGUUUUCAUGAUUUGAUUCACGAUUUCAUGGUUUAGAGCCUUUUACUUUUUUACAAGUGACAUUUUUUACUGCUCAUGCCGUAACAUUAGAUCAUAUAAAAGACCUUAAUAUAAUUAGGUCAUCUGUAACAAGAUAUCUCAAUCAUGAAAACAAGGCUCGAUAGCCAAGGCUAACUAACUACUUUCCGGAAGGGUCUAUUCUGGAAUUUGUGAGAUUAUUUUAAUUGUUCUGAAAUGAUCUGAAAAUAUGCAUGGUGACGAUUGUUAUGAAUCACAUCUUCUUUUUAUCACACCGCGUUGGUUUAUCGCGUGAUAUCCGGAACUUUCAGGAUAAAUCGUUUUCAAGAAUCUUGAGUGCUUGCUUUUUUGUGGCGUAUUAAGCCACGUUUACAUCACAGAGGAAGUAUAUACAGAGAGUUCACUCAAGCCAAAACAAGUCACACGCACGAUCGGCCAUACUGCGCAUGCGUAACUUCCCAGCCAGUACCGUGAAAUUUUUUAUAAGGAAAUAGAUGGGGAAAUCCGAAUUUUUGUCAUAAAAACAGCGAUUUUAACGAAACUAUCCAGGUGACUUGCUGUUUCGUUUUAAUUUCAAGAAAAUGGGUUAGACUGGACAUUUUUAACAACAAAUGGGGCUGCAAACACUACUUGAACGCUGCGAAAAGGGAAAAUUAUACUCGAAGGAGUGAAGUUCGAAACUUGUGUUGACAAGUCAAAAAGAGAUCAAAAAGUUGUUCUACACAAUGUUCUAUACUUCAGUUGUGUCGUUUUUGCGGCAGAAAAGCUCAGCAGUUGUUCAGAAUUGACAUUCCAGUAUAUUUCGUAUCGUAUAAUGUUCAGGUAAGAGCAUAAUUCACUUUUUUCAACGAGAAAAAAAACUAGCAAAAAACAAGUCUCGACCAAAAUGUCUCAGUCUUUGAGAGUUCGAUACGUGUGUUGAUCUGAUUUAAAUUGUGUAUUUUGAUUGUCAGGAUACUAACCCAUUAAGUACAAACUCAACUUGCCAAGCAGAGAGUCUUGCCACUGAAAUAUAUAGGAUAUAGGAUAUCACAAUCUGUGGGCAGACCGCUCCUUCAACUUUCAAAAUCAAAUAAAAGUUUUUCAAAAGCUCAACCGCACUUCUUAUCUGAAUAGAAAAGAUCACUUACUGUUAUUGUUGAAAAAUUUUGUCCAGAUAUGAAGCUCGAAAGCCUCUUUUCCUUAAAAAUGCCACUUUUUGCAUUUCGAACUACGUUUUCCCUAUAGUUUUGACUGAAAACGCAGCGACGGUACUGGCUGCGGCAUAUUAAAUUGUUUUUGGAAUAUUUAAUUUGCUUUUGAUGGCGUGUAAAUGGCGUCAGCUUCGCAAAUCCGUGUGACGUCCUAAACACUGCAUUUUUCACCGAGUGAACUCUCUUUAUAUCUUUACUCCUUGUUUACAUGCUGCGAUUUGUCGUGCACGAUUCGUAUUCUGGCGUAUGAAAUUUACUGCUAACGCCACAAUUCCUCUUCAUUCAGAUUAUGGCGAAAUUUGAAAUGCAACCACUUUACGCGUGCAUGCUUAUUCGAUGACAAACGCAGGAAUACGAAUCGUACACGACAAAUUGCAGCGUGUAAACGUAGCUUACGUAUUGAAUAUAACAUUCUGACUUUAAAAAGUCUUUAGUUUAUACAGUAAUUCUAGUUAACUUGCUAUAGUCUAUAAUUUCUCUACAGUUCAUCCUUUGAAACUUUAAUUGCGGCCUCCAAAUUCCUCCUGUUCUACUGUAUACAUAUAUAUAUACAUAUAUAUAUAUAUAUAUAUAUAUAUAUAUAUAUAUAUAUAUAUAUAUAUAUAUAUAUAUAUAUAUAUAUAUAUAUAUAUAUAUAUAUAUAUAUAUAUAUAUAUAUAUGAAAAUGUUCUAGAGUGUGUAUUAUAUAAUUUCCAUACCCAGCGCAAGCAGAAAGAUGUUGUCUAUAUAUAUAUAUAUAUAUAUAUAUAUAUAUAUAUAUAUAUAUAUAUAUAUAUAUAUAUAUAUAUAUAUAUAUAUAUAUAUAUAUAUAUAUAUAUAUAUAUAUUUGAUGUCCCACAAUCGUGAGGCAUCAAAGGUAACUAUAAAUAAGAGUUACUUUCAUCCUGCUCAUCAGCACUACACUGAUGAGGCCCAUUAGGCCGAAACGGUACCGUCUGUAGUUAUAUAGUUUACGGUUUAUAUAUAUAGUUUAUAUUACAUAUAUAGUUUAUAUAUAUAUAUAUAUAUAUAUAUAUAUAUAUAUAUACAUAUAUACAUAUAUAUAUAUAUAUAUAUAUAUAUAUAUAUAUAUAUAUAUAUAUAUAUAUAUAUAUAUAUAUAUAUAUAUAUAUAUAUAUAUAUAGGCAUAUAUAUGCAUAUAUACAUAUAUAUAUAUAUAUAUAUAUAUAUAUAUAUAUAUAUAUAUAUAUAUAUAUAUAUAUAUAUAUAUAUAUAUAUAUAUAUAUAUAUAUAUAUAUAUAUAUAUAUAUUUAUAAUCAUUAUUCAUACAAAUAUUUUUUAGAGCCAUAGCGAAGAAAGCAGCGAAGCAAACUGGAAAAGAAUGUUUGCAUGAUGUGAACAAAAAGAUGUCAUGAUGCAAACUGUCCAUGAUCAGAUCACGUUCUGCAACUGAAAGCUUCAGUAUAUAAGCGAACAAAACAAACGCUUUUCUAUUUAAAAUUUAUCAAAAGGAACAGAAAUAUCAAACCAUAAGAUAUAUCAAACCUUUUUCCUUGCAUAGCUUAAUUUAAAUUUUAAAUUUACUUUGAAAUUGCAAUUAAAUCUUAGGAUUUUACUUUAAAAUUUAAAUUUUCAAGUCAUCUUAAUGUAUAAUUUCUCACAUUUUAUUCAAUAUUUUGUAAAGUUAUAAUAUUUUGUAGUAUAUUUAUAGCGCAUGUUUUAGAGCGUGAUGUUUUUUCAAGUGUACAACUGGCUCACAUUUUACCAGCAGUGGCAAGCAUUGACCCAUGCAC